GUCUCUGUGGCGCAAUCGGUUAGCGCGUUCGGCUGUUAACCGAAAGGUUGGUGGUUCAAGCCCCCAAGGGACG
rnacentral:tRNA from 1 species